AAGGAUAGGAAUUUUAUCCUCUUCCGGCUUCAGCAGCGUGACUUGUGAGAUUUCGGAGUACCCGCCGCGGCUUGUUUGAUCUCCUCAUCACUGUGCUCGUCAUAGGAUCCAGCGAGACCAAGUCCUUGGGCUGGAAGAACUCUUCCCGCGCCGCAGACGCGGCGCUGCUGGAUCUCUGUGACAAGCACAGAGAUGAGGGAUUG
rnacentral:sRNA from 1 species